CGAGAAGAGUCUAAACUACGUAAAAUAUAAGCUACGACAACGUGUGUCAGUGUAGGUAGUGAUGAAUAAACAAUAGAGAACGAGAAGAGUCUAAACUACGUAAAAUAUAAGCUAAGACAACACAACGUGUGUCAGUGUAGGUAGUGAUGAAUGAACAACAAAGAAUGAGAACAGUCAUUACACUACC